GCAUAGAUUUAGAUUGAUGGCAGUUUCAAUCCCAUGGGCCUCUCAUAGUGUCCCAUGCCAAAGCAAACGGGACCAUUGCCCGAACUUUUGACUGGCUUUACCCCGUGGGCUUCAGGCACUGAAGCGGGUUGCACAGUG
ensembl:snoRNA